ensembl:lncRNA
UUGGUUUAAACAAGAGUGAUUUAUUAACACAUGUAACUAAAAAUAGAUUUAACAGGCUCAAGCAUGUUUGUAAUCAGAAUUCCAGUUCCAUUUUCUCUGUCAUUUUCUUGACUUUGCCCAUCACCAAAUAUAAACUUCAUGCUAACAAAGGCUGAAAUAUUUCCAGAUCUGUCAUCCAUAAAGCAUCUCUUAAGGCCAUCUCAUCAAUGUCUUACUCUGAUUAGAUGACAUACCCUUUCCUGAAACAAUCACUACGGGCAGGAGAUUAUUUUAAACUGUGGCAAAGGGGGCAUUGAUUAUAUUAAUAGACUGUUUCCAGACAGAGUUUUCCAGACACGGGAUCGCUCUCACCUGAACACAAUGGCUGCUGCACAAUCAAUGAGGAGUGAAACAGAAGCUGGUAAGAAAACUAAAAUGUCUACUACCCAGGUGUAAUGAACUAUCAGGACGUAGCCAACUUAUGACUUCUCAAAAUAGUGGCAUUCAUUAAACUUUUGCCUCCCUUCCCCAUGUCUCCCUUUAAGGACAGAUUGAAAAAAGAAUCUCUUCUCAAUCAAUCGGGACAACUAGAGGUUGAUAAGAAAGAGAAACUGUAACUUUGUCUACCAGGAGUUAACACAGGAGAAAACUUUACCAAUAGUGUUAUUGAGAACCAGCGUGAAUAUUUGUUACUACUUGAAAUUUGCCUAGAAAAUCUCACAGAAAUAUAACACAAUGCAGAUAUUAAGUAUUUCUCUCAAACUUAAUAACUGGAUUCUCUGGGCAGUCAAUUCAGUUCUUGUCCUAAGCAGAGUGUAUUAGGUCCCGUAACAGUUGGUUCCUAUUUUAAGUCUACGGGAAAUAGAACAUAGGUGAAGAAAGUUGGAAUCGGGUACAAUCUCUACAUUGAUUAUGCAGUAAAUAUUCUCAUUGUGUGCCUCAUAUAGUAGUUAUGCUGUAUUCUCCUACUGUUUUCUUAUUCUACCCAAUUUUAAUGAGUCCUCUCAAAAGUCCUUGAGGCUUUAGUGUAAGAUUGAGGAAGGGUUUUCAGCAAAUGUUCCCUGAAUGUCGUCAGUCGUCUUGUUAUUCUAUCUUUCAUGAACUCUGCAAGCUGUGAGGACUCAAGAAUAUUUUAAAACAUUUUCCAUCCCUGUCUAUUCUCAGGCAUUGUUUAUUCUUCUUCCUUCAUGUUUGCUCUACAUAAAUACUAAUUUUCUGUUUUCCCAUUCUAGCUGAGUGUUUCUCAGCUCAGCUGCAUGUUAGACUCACCUGGGGAAUUUUAAUGGAAAGUGGGGGGAGGAGAAAAGGGGAAAGGGACAAGACCAAAACCAGUGAAUUUAGGAUGAAUUAUGUGUGACAAAUAAACCACUAAUUCCUAAGUGUCUAGAAACUCAGGACACUGAAGGCAAGAAGUAGGGGCUUCUUGGCCAUUUGCCAUGUGACAAAUGGCUUCAUCUAUGAACUUAUGGCCUUGGUAAACUGAGAGAGCUUGUUCUAGCAAGGCCGAGGUCAUUUUACUCCAGGAAGUCAUUUAUGUAAAGUCACCAAAGAGAGGAGGAAAGCAUUUGAGGCAGUCUCCAGUCUUUAUGUUUCGCGUUGUAUCCAGAGAGCAUCUCCCCACUUGCUCCUUUGUCAGAUAUAUUAUCAAACAAAUGAAGCCCACCUAUCGAUGUCCCAGGUAAGAAAAAGCAAAGUUGUAACAGAAGUCAUUCCCGAUGAUGUGGAUACAAAAGAUGAAGACUGGUAGCUUCUGGCAGAGAAGCACUGACCAUGCCAUGUCCACGAAGAUUGAUCAACUACAAACUUCUUAACUUCUUUUUAUUCUUUUGUCCUAAGACUGGGAAAGG